AAGUCGUAACAAGGUUUCCGUAGGUGAACCUGCGGAAGGAUCAUUAUCCUUUGCGUGGUAUUCUAACCAAUACUACAAGCGCAUGCACCAAUGUGUUGCGUAAAAUUGCACAGCGAUGAUGCCUCGUCAUUGUCGUUCUGAAACCCAUGCUAGCUCCCUAGUAUGGUCGGGUACCUAUGAUCGCAAGAUCGUAAGCGGCAGAUGCUCGUCUGCCGUGUGGUGUAAAGAUCAUUCAGGCCAUUGAAUGACGCCCGCCAAGCAAAACAUUUUAAGACAAAUUUUCAAACGCUACUAUGUUGUAUGUGUAAGCGACUAUCUUAUUGCUUGAUAAGAUAAUAACACAAAUACAACCCUAUGCGGUGGAUCAUUUGGCUC
rnacentral:misc_RNA from 1 species